CCAGGGAUGAUGGACAAUGGAAAGCCACUUCUGGGUCUGACUUGCUACAUGGUGCAACCAUGCAAUAGGUGUGUACUCAGGACAGACAGCUGGGCCAAAGUUCAUUGCUGCUUCAAACUCAAAGUGAACAUAUGGUCCUUGAACCACAACAAGUAGCACCAAAACAAACCUUGAUCCUUCCACCUUUGAGCGACACCAUAACAGAUGAACAUCCCCAAAUUCACCUCCAAGGUUGUCCCUUGAGGAGCACAGCUGAAGAAGCUCUGUGUUAGCAGCAUCUUCUGAAUUCUGCCAGGCUCUCUGAGAUGAGCUAAUUAAGCAUCUAUGAAGCAUGAUGAGAAGAGAGUUGAUACAUGAUGGCAGGGGAGGAGACAUUCACCAAAGGACCAUGAAAGUAGUAUGAAGACUUCUACUUCAGCCUCAAUUAGACUGUUUGUAUAAAGUAAAAUGAUUAAACAUCUGAGGGGAGAGAUAACAGGUAGAAAAACUGAUGCUCCUGGUCUUUUCAUUUAUCUGGUUACAAUGCUGCAUUGACACUAAGGCAGUGUGUGAUGAUGAAAGAGCCUUUUAGAAGUGUGCACCUAGUACCACUCUGUCUGUUCAGCUGCCAUGGAAAGGAAAAAUGGCAUUCCUGAUAUAUGAUUUCAUUUCAUUUUUUGAACAAAAUUAACUACUUGAAGAUUUGUUGUUUGGGAUGAUUUCUGAUUGAGACUCAACAGGAAACAUGAGAUGAAAUAGUAGUACUGUUCAUGCAUUGGUUUCAUCCCAUUCUCAUUGUAGGCAGGAGACGUCUCCAUUCUAGGAGGACUAUUCAUUUUCAAUGUCUCUAGCAGAAUUUGAAUCAGUUUUUGUUACCAACAAAUAGUUUUAAAAUUAAAACUAAAAGAAUUCUUGUUAAGACAUUUUUAGUGUGAAAAACUAAUGAUACAGUGUGAUUAUGCAAUACCUAUAUUUAUUCUCACAGUAUUUGUCAGAAAAAUGGUUCUUCCCAUGUUAUCAUUUUCAGUGACAGGUUCAUGUUGACACUGGUGCUGACUACAGGCAGUCAAAACUUCCUCAAUUUCUAGCAUACUUGAUUUGAUGCUGACAGGUUCAUGUGCAUUAGUUUCAGCAAUAUGUAAAAUUUAUAGUAAUAAAUAUCUAGGACUCUUUUUUUUUUUUUUUUUUUUUUUGCUAUUAAUUCUCAUUUCUCACAGAAAGGUUUGUUCUUUAAAAAAAUGUGUGCAUAAAUCAGAAAGGGAAAUCCUUAAGUAUGCCUUGGAA